rnacentral:rRNA from 1 species
UACGGAGGGUGCAAGCGUUUAUCCGGAUUUUAUUGGGUUUUAAAGGGAGCGUAGGCGGCCUUAUAAGUCAGUGGUGAAAUCUCGUUGCUUAACAACGAACGUGCCAUUGAUACUGUAGGGCUUGAGUACAGAUGCCGUUGGCGGAAUGUGUCAUGUAGCGGUGAAAUGCAUAGAUAUGACACAGAACACCGAUUGCGAAGGCAGCUGACGAAAACUGUAACUGACGCUGAGGCUCGAAAGCGUGGGGGAUCAAACAGG